UCCUGCCUAAGCCCUGCCCACGGGGAAGAUUUAGAUAUAUCACUAAAACCAGCACCCAAGUGAUGUGACUCUUCACCAGAGUCCUGCCCACAAGGAGGAUUGUGACAUUUCACUGGACCAGCACCCACUCAGGAAUCAAAUCCGAGUUCGUCUACAGCUGAUUCGGCAGGUACCAGGGCGUCCGCGAUGGUGGUAUUGCUCCAUAUGCCUGAGACCCUAACAAAAGCCUAAUUACAACUCAUAUGCCUGGAGCCAGGACAUGUGCAGGAUGCCAUGAUGGUCCAAGUUAUAUUGGGAUUCAGCCAAUAGAAGAUAUUUUGCCUGUCAUCCCUAAGCUUAGGACAAUAGACUCUGCCAAGAGAGGGGAUUAUUACAUAUUGCAGAGCCCAGCACCUAGGUGGAGUGACUCUCAUCUUUUUCUUCUACCCCGUAUAUAGCCAGCUUGGUGACCUACUAUUUGAGUCUAUACCCAGGCCCAGACCACAGAUGAAAUUGUGCAAUAUGUGGAACAAACACCUAAACAAUAUAUAACACCUUCCUUGGCUCUGUCUACAAAGGGCACUUUUAUAUAUCACUGGGACCAUCAACCAGGUGAUGUUAAUUAUCUUCCUGAAACCUGUCUACAAAGAGAGUUGUGUCGUAUACCUAGGCCCGUCAUGUGAUAUAACCCUCUUCUCUGGAAUGGGCCCCACACAAAGGAAGGAUAGUGACAUAUUGCAAGCCCAGGCACACAGGCCCAGAGCACAGUUGAAAUUGUGACAUAUGUACACCAAGCAACCAAGCAAUGUAUAACACCUCAUUUGGCAAUGGAAUCGAGGGCACUUUUACAUAUCACUGAGACCAGCGCCCAGCUGAUGUGAAAUAUUGGCCUGAACCCUGCCUACAAAAGCAUUGUGGCUUUUAUCUAGCUCCAUUACAUAAGUGAUGUGACUUCCUUCUACUGCCUUGGCCCUGCACUUAUGGUGAAUCGUGACACAAAAUUGGGUAGAGCAACCAGCCUGGGCCCUGACCAGCACAGAGAUUGAGGCAUAUUGCUGAACCCAGGACCAAGAUGAAGUCACUCUCCUGCCUUGAUCCUGCACACAGGGACCCUUGUGACAUAUAUACAGGCCAAUUGCCUAGGUGAUGUUGUGCAAUAUACCUGAGACCAGAUCAAUGGCCUAAUAAUGACUCUUUUACCUAGAGCCAGGACAUGUGCAGGAUGGUAACUCUCAUCCCUGAACCUUUCCACAGGUGUUAUUGUCACAUAUACCUUUUCCAGCUCCAAAGUGAUUUAAUAAUCCAGCCUAGUUAUAGCCCACAGAUAAUAUUUGGACAUAUACCUGAGUCAAGAACCUUGGUGAUUUGACUCUCAUGUCUUAACAGUGUCCUCAGAAGGGAUCAUAACAUAUCUCUGGACCCAUCAUCUAGGUUAUGUGACUCUCUUCUCCUGCCUGAACCCUGCUUCCAGUGAAGAGUGUUGCAUUUCUAAGCACUGCAUCCAAAUGACAUGAGUUUCUUGCCUGGGCCGUUUCAACAGAAGGCAUUGUGACAUAUCUCUAGGUCUAUCAUUUAGGUGAUAUGACUCUCCUCUCCUGCCUGGACACUCUCCACAAGGGGCAUUAUGCCAUAGAGCUAGAGCUAGCAACCAAGUUUUGUGAAUUUUCUGUUAGGGCCUUGCCUACAAAGAGAAUUUUGGAAUAUUUCUGGCUUAGAAUUUAAGUAAUGUGGUUGUUCUGCCUGUUCAGUAACCACAGAGGAGAAGGUGAAAUAUAUCUAGGCACCGCAAACAGGCAUGAUAAUGAGUCUUGUAUGUGGACCCAGCAAAUAGGAGAAAUUUUGACUCUUAUAACUAGGUUUAGGAACAUGAGUGAUGUCCAGGAUCUCCUUCUGGUAAGAAGGUCACAGAAGAUUGCAACACUCACAAUUAUUUUGUAACACCUUUGGGUUGUAUAGGGAGUGUCGUAACAGGGCCAAACACACAGAGGAAAUUGUGACAGUCAUAUGCACACCUACCUGACAGUAAAGACUUUCACAAUCACAAAUGGAUGAAGGCAACUGUCCUACAUGAAAACAGGACAUGUGUGGUAUUGUACAUCUAAAACCUAGAAUUUUAUUCCAUUGUGACUGUGAUAUAAAUCAAUGCCAAGCACCUGCGUGAUUUCA
ensembl:lncRNA LINC00293 long intergenic non-protein coding RNA 293